CUUCGGCCCCGCGCUUCCUCCAGGGCUGAGUAUCGAGGUGGAUGGAGUGCGGUGCCUGAUUCGGAGGCCGUGGUCGCGGACCAUGCCUACCCC
rnacentral:sRNA from 1 species